rnacentral:misc_RNA from 1 species
CAGAGUUGCAAAACUCCCAAACCCAUGUGAACAUACCUGUUGCCUCGGCGGCCUACCGCUGUAGCUACUCUGUAGCUACCCUGUAGUCCGCCGACGGACCAUAAAACUCUUUGUUUAAUUGUAUCUCUGAGUAAAAUCAUAAUAAGUUA